UUUUUUUUUCAAGCAAAUUUUAAUUGUUAACAUGCAGGAGCUGUGGCUAUGUGUGGUCCCUCUCCCAUCUUCCACUUUUGGCAGUUAGAGAGUGUUGGUGAGGAACACUGAGUAUGAGCAGACUGUGAUGCUCUUGAAUCACCCACACAAGCACUUACAGAGAUGGAGCUGUUAAAUGAGCUAAAAUUCCCCCACCGACCACUGCUGCAACCACAGAACUGAUGUCUCUCAGGGCAGCAUCCCUGCUUUUGACUCUUCAGCCCCAGCAAUGUCUGCUUAGACCAGAGCCCACUCCUCUGGUACAAUAUGGCAAAUCUUGUGGUUUACUGCCUACAAACCUGGUCCUGCUGUUGUCAGCCAUGGAGUUGCCUACGUUGCCUUUGAUGAAGAGGACUGGAACAGACAUCGCUGAUUAAAGAAGCCUGUUAUGAUUCUAAGUGUCUUCUACAAGUCUGGAGUGAGCAAUCACCUUAUCUGACAGCUGCAGCUGUAGACAACUUGGGUUAGACGAGAUGAAUGCCUUCUUGCUGUCACUUUAACUGGAGACCUCAGCUGAUGUUCUCAGUGGCUUAUAUGGUAUCAUGGCGGAGGAAGGAACAAGCAGAACAUGUAAGAAAAUGGGAUUUCUACAGUCUUCUUACAUUCCUCUGAUGCAGUUCAGAUCUCCAUCUGGAGUGGAUUUCACUUCACCUACCUAAAGCUACCUAGAAGCUAAAUAUCUAAAGUAAACCUGCAUUCCUUUCAGAGUCAGAGGAAAGAUAUUGUCUCUUACACUUUUUAGGAUCCCAU